UGAACAACCACUCCAAACGCCAGACUGCCUUUGACUGGAGUACUGCAGAAGCAAUGGUGAUGAACCAACCAGAGCCGGCCAAAGAGAAGGAGAAACAGGGCUUCUUCAGAUCGAUGAAGAAGAAGAAGAAGAAACCGACCAAUCCCGUUCCUGGUGAUGGCCAGGACAACCUGUUUAUCCAGAAGGGGACCAAGUCCUCG